GGACAAAGAGCAGCAAGUUCGCGAGGACAAGCAAAUCUCAUAAACCGUGGCUCAGUUCAGAUCGUAGGCUGCAACUCGCCUACGUGAAGGAGGAAUCGCUAGUAAUCGCAGGUCAGCAUACUGCGGUGAAUACGUUCCCGGGCCUUGUACACACCGCCCGUCACACCAUGGAAGUUGGCCACGCCCGAAGCCGUUACUCCAACCCUUGUGGAGGAGGACGUCGAAGGUGGGGCUGAUGACUGGGGUGAAGUCGUAACAAGGUAGCCGUACCGGAAGGUGCGGCUGGAUCACCUCCUAA
rnacentral:rRNA from 1 species